rnacentral:rRNA from 1 species
UACAGAGGGUGCAAGCGUUAAUCGGACUUACUGGGCGUAAAGGGUGCGUAGGUUGUUGAUUGAGUCAGAUGUGAAAGGCCAGGGCUUAACCUUGGAAUUGCAUCUGAUACUGAUUGACUAGAGUCGAGGAGAGGGGAGCGGAAUUUCCGGUGUAGCGGUGAAAUGCGUAGAUAUCGGAAGGAACACCAGUUGCGAAGGCGGCUCUCUGGACUCAGACUGACACUGAGGCACGAAAGCGUGGGUAGCGAACAGG